rnacentral:rRNA from 1 species
UACGUAGGGUGCAAGCGUUGUCCGGAAUUAUUGGGCGUAAAGAGCUCGUAGGCGGUUUGUCGCGUCUGCUGUGAAAACCCGAGGCUCAACCUCGGGCCUGCAGUGGGUACGGGCAGACUAGAGUGCGGUAGGGGAGACUGGAAUUCCUGGUGUAGCGGUGAAAUGCGCAGAUAUCAGGAGGAACACCGGUGGCGAAGGCGGGUCUCUGGGCAGUAACUGACGCUGAGGAGCGAAAGCGUGGGGAGCGAACAGG